UACGGGGGGGGCAAGCGUUGUUCGGAAUUACUGGGCGUAAAGGGCUCGUAGGCGGCCAACUAAGUCAGACGUGAAAUCCCCAGGCUCAACCUGGGAACUGCGUCUGAUACUGGAUGGCUUGAAUCCGGGAGAGGGAUGCGGAAUUCCAGGUGUAGCGGUGAAAUGCGUAGAUAUCUGGAGGAACACCGGUGGCGAAGGCGGCAUCCUGGGCCAACACUGACGCUGAGUGAGCGAAAGCCAGGGGAGCAAACGGG
rnacentral:rRNA from 1 species